GAUGAUCCCACUAAUCACAGGAAGUGCCGUCAGAAGCAGUAACUGAGGAAAGUGCUCCUGGCUGACUGCAGUCACCCAGUGCACCAGAUGCUGUUGUUGCUAAGCAUUAAGUUGGUCUGAACUGUGACAACCUUUCUACAUUCAUGCUGGUUGCAGAGUGGCAGAAGAUGCCAGCAGCUUAGUGUUACAGAUGCCUUGAGUCACCUGUGAGGCCUGUGUACAGAGGUGCCACCCACCAACUUCUGCUCGAAGCCUGUUGGAGUGUGUUGGCCUUGGGUCAGAUGUGGACGCUCUCUUGCAUUUCCUGCUCUGGAGUCUUACCCUGUGUCCCCAGGUUUGGAGACAGUGCUGGAGUGCAGUGCUAGAGCUGGCAGCUGCCCAGCCCAGGAAGAGGCAGAGGGCUGGAAGCUGCCACUGAUUGUGUUUGAGAAUCUCUGACUGGAUCCUUUGCUACAGAAGAAACAAGCUGCUUCCCUCCUGUAUCAGAGGCCUUCUCAAGAGAACUGAUGUAUGUGGCAAUUUUUUUCUAGGACAAGCAUGCAGCAUUGGGUGGUGGUAAUUAACCUACCCAACAAACAGGAGCAUCUGUGUCUUAGGAUAAAUGUAUACUUGCA